rnacentral:rRNA from 1 species
GACGAACGCUGGCGGCGUGCUUAACACAUGCAAGUCGAACGGAAAGGCCCUGCUUUUGUGGGGUGCUCGAGUGGCGAACGGGUGAGUAACACGUGAGUAACCUGCCCUUGACUUUGGGAUAACUUCAGGAAACUGGGGCUAAUACCGGAUAGGAGCUCCUGCUGCAUGGUGGGGGUUGGAAAGUUUCGGCGGUUGGGGAUGGACUCGCGGCUUAUCAGCUUGUUGGUGGGGUAGUGGCUUACCAAGGCUUUGACGGGUAGCCGGCCUGAGAGGGUGACCGGCCACCUUGGGACUGGGAUACCGGCCAGACUCCUACGGGAGGCAGCAGGUGGGAAUAUUGCACAAUGGGCGGAAGCCUGAUGCAGCAACGCCGCGUGCGGGAUGACGGCCUUCGGGUUGUAAACCGCUUUCGCCUGUGACGAAGCCUGAGUGACGGUAAUGGGUAAAGAAGCACCGGCUAACUACGUG